CGCAUCUGUGCAUGCAGCAUAUCAAUAAGCGGAGGAAAAGAAACUAACAAGGAUUCCCUCAGUAACGGCGAGUGAAGCGGGAAGAGCUCAAAUUUGAAAUCUUGAAAGGUCACCUUUCACGAAUUGUAGUUUAAAGAAGUGUUCUCUGUUACGAUCGUAAUAUAAGUUCUUUGGAAUAGGGACAUCACAGAGGGUGAGAAUCCCGUCUAUGAUUGCGAUUUAGUAGCUUUGUGAUACACUUUCAAAGAGUCGGGUUGUUUGGGAAUGCAGCCCAAAACGGGAGGUAAAUUUCUUCUAAGGCUAAAUAUUGGCGAGAGACCGAUAGCGAACAAGUACCGUGAGGGAAAGAUGAAAAGAACUUUGAAAAGAGAGUUAAAUAGUACGUGAAAUUGUCAAAAGGGAAGCGUUUAACACCAGUGUUGUUUUCUGAAAAUCAACCUCUGUUAACUUUAUGCAUGUUUGUUUAGACCUAAUCAGCUAUCUUGCAUGUUCUAUUGUUUGCAGUGGUGCACUUUUCAGUUUACAGGUCAACAUCAGUUUUUUUUACCGUAAAAAAGUUAAAGAAAGGUAGCUCAUGGCUCCGGUCGUGAGUGUUAUAGUCUUUUUCCUAUGCGGUAGGAGAGACUGAGGUCUGCAGUGUAGGCUAUUUGGCUAGAUACUCAGGUGCUAUGUGAUACCAUUUCAUAAACAACUUGUUGAUUAUGUUUUGUCUAUUGCAUACUCGCUUGUACUAUCAUACCUACGCUUAGGAUGUUGACGAUCAGCUGAGCGCG
rnacentral:rRNA from 1 species